UUUCUUAAAGUAAUUUUUACACUUUAAUUUCGAAUUAAACAUAUGAUUUAGCCUAAAUCUAAGAAAU
rnacentral:tRNA from 1 species